rnacentral:rRNA from 1 species
AUGCAUUUUCAUGAUAGAGAUAAUAUUGAAAGGAGUAUGAUGAUGUCAGACAUCACAUAUUACAAUUUGGUAGCACUGAUGGAGACAGAAGGGUAUGGUUUUAGAGAUUAUAUGUAUUAUGUGAGGGGCCCUGGGCUAGGGAUUGAAGGAAUGGAAGAAAUAGAUGCUGAUGAUAAGUUAGAGGAAAUUUUAGACCACAUAGCAGAGCAGAAUAACAAGAUAUUGAAUGUGACAAUAGUUAGGGCCAGUGCAGAGAAAGUUCCCAAUAUAAAUACCAAUGUUAAUGUCAUUCAGAUGCAGACCCCAAUAGAACAAAUUGGAGAGCCCAAACUGUAUCGGAUUGAUGAUGAAGGAGUGUUGUUCAAUGCUGAAAAUGGCAUGUAG